rnacentral:misc_RNA from 1 species
AAACUGUGGAAGCUGCACUGAAAAGGAUACGAGCAUUUGUGUGUAAGGGAAAGGAAGAUCAUCAGGAAAUGCCAACCAAGAAUAAACAGCGAUGGCAAAGAAAUCUCCGCCUCAGUUUCUCAGCUCGAAGAUUCGAAGAGGGAGUCAAGUCACCCCAUGUGAUGUCUCCUCACUCCCCAAUUCCUCACUCGCCGUUAGUUCGUGCUAAGUAAAAGGCAUGCAUAUCCUAGCGCCUACACCCAGUUCAGAAUCCAAUAUACAAACAAGUUAUUCAUAUCCCAUCACAUAUAUUAUAUCGAUACAUCGGGACUUAGGGAAGAAAAAUUACUAUAUCCUGCCAAUAUGGUUANNNNNNNNNNNCAAUUAGAUGGUCAUUAUCUAUUUUUCGGUCCCAUUAGUUUGGAAACUUUUAGAUUUUUGUGGGAAUUUUAAUGUUUCAUAUGCGCAACAACUAGCACCUAACAAUCCAUGCAUCAUGUAUUUGAGCUUUAGCUUCCUGACCUAAGAAAUUAAUAUAUGAUUGUCCAUGU